rnacentral:misc_RNA from 1 species
UAUGCAGAGCAUUUGACCUUUCGCCAGUAUCCUGUACUGACUUCUUUGCUGCAAUGUUCUCUAUAUUCUUUAUUGAUUGUUGCACUAAAUUGACUUGUGUGUAUCUGAUCAAGGCCAAAAGUGAGGUUUUCUCUUGCUUUCAGAUGAUUUGUACUCAAUUUGAGGCUAUAAAAAUCUUGAACUGAUAAAGGCACAGAAUAUAUGGAUAAAAAAUUUGGUGAUGAUUUGGAGUUCGAAGG